GGUGAAAAGCACCCCGGAAGGGGAGUGAAAUAGAACCUGAAACCGUGUGCUUACAAGUAGUCAGAGCCCGUUAAUGGGUGAUGGCGUGCCUUUUGUAGAAUGAACCGGCGAGUUACGAUUUGAUGCAAGGUUAAGCAGUAAAUGUGGAGCCGUAGCGAAAGCGAGUCUGAAUAGGGCGUUUAGUAUUUGGUCGUAGACCCGAAACCAGGUGAUCUACCCUUGGUCAGGUUGAAGUUCAGGUAACACUGAAUGGAGGACCGAACCGACUUACGUUGAAAAGUGAGCGGAUGAACUGAGGGUAGCGGAGAAAUUCCAAUCGAACCUGGAGAUAGCUGGUUCUCUCCGAAAUAGCUUUAGGGCUAGCCUCAAGUGAUGAUUAUUGGAGGUAGAGCACUGUUUGGACGAGGGGCCCCUCUCGGGUUACCGAAUUCAGACAAACUCCGAAUGCCAAUUAAUUUAACUUGGGAGUC
rnacentral:rRNA from 1 species